UACGUAGGGUCCGAGCGUUGUCCGGAAUUAUUGGGCGUAAAGGGCUCGUAGGCGGUUUGUCGCGUCGGGAGUGAAAACUCAGGGCUCAACCCUGAGCGUGCUUCCGAUACGGGCAGACUAGAGGUAUGCAGGGGAGAACGGAAUUCCUGGUGUAGCGGUGGAAUGCGCAGAUAUCAGGAGGAACACCGGUGGCGAAGGCGGUUCUCUGGGCAUUACCUGACGCUGAGGCACGAAAGCCAGGGGAGCGAACGGG
rnacentral:rRNA from 1 species